GUCCUACUAGUUAUAUGUUCUGGCUGAAGCACUCUGCUAAUUAAAUCAGCUGGUUUAAGUGAAUGGUUGGAACAGAUAUGUGGUUCUGUGGAUUGUCUCACUCCGAUUAAUUGAUUUCUUUUCCCACAAUCUGGAGCAAAGACGGUAUAUUGCACGAGAUGGAGGUGUGCCUUAAUGAUAACAUUGCCUCCAUGGAUGAUCACCUGAUG